GAGAAAACCAAAUCAUGCCUUUUCUCUCUCUUAACUGGAAAAUUGAAGGCAAGAAGAGACUUACAAGAAGCAGAACAAGAUUGAAGGUCGCUAGAAUUCACGCGUUCUCCGCAUUAUUCUUCUCAGAUUUCUAUGUCAUUCAAUAAUUGAAAUAUCUCCUUCUCCCGAUCCAAGAUCCUUCCUCUUCCUCUUUCUCCAAAACGUCUCCGUUUUAGCUUCCUCCCG
rnacentral:misc_RNA from 1 species